CAGAGUCCUGGGGGUGAUAAGUGACUUACCUAAGGUCACACAAAGAGAGGCAAAUUCGAACCCAGGACCUCUGCCUCCGGAGAAUGUACCCUUUUCAUUGAAACACGCCAAGCUCAUCCUUGAGGGCUACUGGAAAAGAAGCUACCUCAACAACAAGGAGAUUGGUUCUCCAGGGGGAAUGGUGGCGUCCUUUUUGUUUUCCCACAUCUGUGCUCGCCAGAGGGGAAUCUCAUCACACUCCGCACAGCUCCAGACACAGCUCCAGACACACACUGGGGGCGAAGAGGAAGCCGGACAGGCGGGCUGCUCCCAAGGCAGGAGAAUGAACUUCUCGCAGAGGACGGGGGCUCUGGAGGCUUCUGCAGCGGUGCAGGUGGCCGGCACGCUUCCGAAGGCGGCCGUCCAGACCUCCGGACAAAGCACGGUCCCCUAGUGUUUUGUGCAAUCAUCGCUUUAGCUAGCGUAGACAUAGACCCCUCCUCGGACACCAGAAUGUUCCCGACAAAGUUCCAGGAAUUACAAGGUCCCCAAGUAUGUCUGCACCCCACCGUCUUCGGGGCAAAAGUCCUGUUUCCUCAUCUUCAAAGCAAAGCCCUGUAAGCACCAGACCGAGACCCUGUCUUCAAAGUGAAGUCCUGUUUUCUCAAAAGCAUUAAACCGAAACCCUGAAACAUAUAUAAACUCCAUCCUGACUACUUCACCUUGGAGCUCCUUGGCUGAGCUCCCCUUG